GACGAACGCUGGCGGCGUGCUUAACACAUGCCAGUCGAACGGGCCUUGUCCCCUUUUUUUUUGGGGGUGGGGUUAGUGGCGAACGGGUGAGUAACACGUGAGUAACCUGCCCCUCACUUCUGGAUAACCGCUUGAAAGGGUGGCUAAUACGGGGUGUUCUGGCCUGCUCGCAUGGGUGGGUUUGGAAAGAUUCGACCGGUUUUGGUUGUUUUGGUGGGGGAUGGGCUCGCGGCCUAUCAGCUUGUUGGUGGGGUGAUGGCCUGCCAAGGCUUUGACGGGUAGCCGGCCUGAGAGGGUGGGCGGUCACACUGGGACUGAGACACGGCCCAGACUCCUACGGGAGGCAGCAGUGGGGAAUAUUGCACAAUGGGCGCAAGCCUGAUGCAGCGACGCCGCGUGAGGGAUGGAGGCCUUCGGGUUGUGAACCUCUUUCGCCAGUGAAGAAGGUCCUGCUCUUUGUGGUGGGGUUGACGGUAGCUGGGUUAAUGAAGCGCCGGCUAACUACGU
rnacentral:rRNA from 1 species